AUUGAGGCAGUCAAAGUAGGCAAAUCCGCUUUGAUAAUGCUGGGAUGUGAUGGGGAGCGAAAUUUAGUAGCGAAGUAGCUUAUGUCACACUGUCAAGAAAAGUCCCUAUCGAGGUUAAAGGUACCCGGACCGAAAUCCGACACAGGUGGGUGAGGAGAGUAUCCUAAGGCCAGCGAGAGAACUGUUGUUAAGGAACUCGGCAAAAUGACCCCGUAACUUAGGGAUAAGGGGUGCCACCAUCAGGUGGCCGCAGAG
rnacentral:rRNA from 1 species